UGUCAUAUGUAACACAUUAAGUUGCAAUAAGACAUGAAUUAUGUCUGAAUUAAAAAAAAAAAAUAUUAGCCAUUCAUUUUCAUUGUAUCUCUGAAGCUUAAGUUUUAUGAUCAUGUGCACAUCCAUCAUUGGCAAUCGUCCAAGCAUAUUUUCCCUUGAUGUGCACACACAUCUCCUUGUAUGCUCAAUGUUUUUGGCAUUUUGGGAAAAAAAAGUUAUCCUCGCUAGAUUGUUUUUAGGUAUGCCUUGUUACUUGCUAGCAUAUCUUUUUUUUUUCUUUUUCUUGUUGUGGAGGUGGUUUUACAGUUCCAUAGCAAGCAAUACUUCAUGCCUACGAUGCUAGUGACCUUUGCUCUCAAUUUAUUUUUUCAAUUUUUUGACACAUUUCUCAAAUCUUUUAUCAUCUAUCAUUUUCUUUUAAGCAUAUCAUCUUAUUUUCCAUUUGAUGCCAAAAUUUGGACCCUUCGCCUAUCUUUUAUUUGCUGAGAACUUCCAAACAUUUGGGUACUCACCUACUUUGAAAAUCUAAGCCCUUUCUGUCAUUUUGUUGAAACUUUAUUUUUCUACAUCAAAAUUCAUCCCAAAAGAAAUAUUUUGCAAUAAUCCAAAUACUUGAAACUACCGAACUUCCAAAAUUUCAAUCAUGAUAUAAUCAUUUCCAAAUUCAAUAUUGGCAUAACUAAUAACUACACAAUGUCUGCACGAAGAACAAGUUCUACGUGUAACUCAUGAUUGGUUUCAAGUUCUUAAAAAUGGAAAAUGUUGUUAGCUACUGGAUAUUUUCAUAGAGGGGAGACUAGUUAAAGUUGGCUUCCUUAAUUGGUCAAUGCUCCUUCGUGGUGAUAGGUUCUCGCUCGCCUAUCUCUAUUUAGUUUCCUCUACUUUUUAAACUUUGAUUUUCCUUAUUUUUUUCAACUUCUUUCUUUAAUUUCUAUUCUUCUCAGUUGAUCAACUCUUCAACAUCAAUCUUUGUUUCUCAUUGUUCAUCAUUGUCAUUUGUUUCAUGGAAAUGUAAAAAGCAUGUUUGCUGGAUUUGCUACCCAAAACAAAACAUAAAAAUACCCGUGUUGCUUGAACUUGUGUAUGAUUCUCAGAUACAGGCAUGUGUCCAAAUGAUUGACAAGUGAAAUCUCCCAAAACUAGGAUAUGUAGACCCAACAAGAUGUGUCCAAAAAUUGGAUACGAGUAUGGGGACACAUGUGUAAGUAAACAUAUAACAAAUAAUUAAAAAUAGGGAAGAUAUAGAGGUUUGAUUGAUGAGUUAAUGUGGUUAGGAGUACUUUGAACUAUUUUAAAAAUUGGUUUUAUUAGAAAUAUACGAUUUUCUUCAAAGCAAGCUAAAAGAAAAUAACUUCUGAGUUGUAACACCUUAAUACAUGGCAAAAUCCUAUCAAAUCAUGUCGCCAUGUUAUAUUAUCACCCACUUGUAACUAGUGUUGUCAAGAGGUGUUAAGACGCUCAUUAAGGCGCUCCAGGCGAGGUGACAUGACCUUUAUUAGCCUUAGUCGAUAAAUUUCAAUGAAAUGCUGCCUAGGCGAGCACCUCAUGAGUGGGCGUCGGGCAUUAAAGCGAGCACCUAAUUGAAAUACUUCCUUUUGUGUUGAAUUUUUCUUUUUUUUUUCAACUGAUUUAUGUUUUGACCAUUUUUUAAUUUACCACAAGAAACAACUUAGGGGUGUUUUUGUAAAAAACAAAGAUUAGGGUAAAAAAAAUAAAAAUUCAUUAAAAUGAGAGGCAUACAGUCAAGGAAUGACACUUGAAGAGAAACACAACCACACUUUACAUUGAACAGAGUCAAAGAACAACGACACAAGUACAUAACAAGUACGCAUAUAUGAAGAUGUAUUUGAAGAUUAUUCAAUAAUGAUGAUGAUAUUUAAGCUUGCUUUUUAAUCUAUUUGGCUACUUAUUAUUUUAAAUUAUCUUGUGAAAAAUAUAACUUUAUACAACUAUGUUAUGGUAUUUUAUAUUUUCUUUUGAUUUUCUAAUGAUCUAAUCUUAAUUGGAAAGAUAUAUAUUUUAGAUUUAUAUAAUAUAAUAUAUUUUUUUAACCUGUAGCAUAUUGCCUUGGUUCAUUCUGGCGAGCGCUUGGUCAUGCACCUAGCAUCUCAGUCAUUUUACAGGCUUGGCGCCUUUGCCUUUGAUAACAUUGCUUGUGACCAAAUCACUUCUCGGAUAAAAUGCUUGUACACAUGAUCACUGCAUUUGUCUUCUUUUCUCUCACCUUUAUGACUUCUUUCUUCAUCUUCUUCCUCCCAUCAUCUAUUUGCGUAAGAAUUUCUUAUAUUUCAUAAGUGUACUCAUGUCAGGUUGUUUCAACACUAGUGCUUAGGCAAAACCAAAGGGUCCAAGCAUCAUAGCUUCACACCGUUGCACAUUUAUACAUAAUCAUGUAGAACAAGAAUUAGCUUAUAAGUAUCAUUAAUCAGAUUACUACUUGAGUUACCUUUUGGCUCCAUGCAAUUUUUCUUUGUUUCAAUUCUUAAUGUUUAUUUGAAGUCAUCAAUUCCAACAAACUCCACUGCUUGUAUUGACGCGGUAGCUUUCUUUACAAUUCAUUUUAUUUUAUUUCAGAGAUAUUAAGGUUAUUUAAUUUAUCUAGGGUCAUGAUUUGCAUGUGACUUUUUAUAGCAUUUCAUUAGAGGUUAAGUUGUUUUACUUGGGGACUUAAACUAGGAAUCCUUUUCACAAAUAAUAUAAAUAGGCUACUAGGGUUAUUUUAUAGUUGUUCUUUGUUAAUUUAUUGAUAUAUUUAGAUUCUGGAGGUUUGUUGUGAAUCUUAAACUCUAUUACCUUGUUAAAACCUCAAUGCUAUCCUAAUUAGCCAUUAUUCUGCUGUAAUUUCUGUUGUCUACCAUUUUCCUCUUCCCACACUAUGUCAAGUUGGCAGUGAACCAAAAAGAUCCCCAAGAGUGUGUUAGGGUUUCAAUCCUUUAACCAUGGAAGGAUGUGUUGGAGUUUGUAGAUGGAGAAAUCAAGAUAGGAAAACAAUUAUGGUUGAGAUAAGUAGUUAAUUGAACGAUUGUUCCUCAUUACUGAUGCUUUGCAGCAACAAGAAUUCGUGGGAGCUAUAGUGGAGAUUCAAGGCGGCCAUGACUCUUUAGACAUAGUAGAAGGUGGUGGUGGUUGUAUGGAUGAAGAAAAAAAUUGAAUUUCUAUAGAGGAAGAGAGUUAAAGAGCAACAAGUUCUAAAAGAUGAAGAAUUAGUAGAGAAAGAAGUAGGUCUAGGUUGGGAUUCUCCCAUCAAUGUACGAUGUUAUAGUGCAAUGAUGAUUAUGAUGAUAAUUGAGCAAUCAAUGUUGACAAUAAUAGCAAUGAUGAUGUUAUCAAUGGUAACCUCAUUGAAAAGGUAGAAGUUCGCAAAGAUAUCAUGGGAGUUGCUCAACAAAGGAAAUUUGUUAAUUUACACCAUGUUUAACCUUUAUUGAUUACAAGUAUGAUAUUAUCCCAAAGGUA